rnacentral:rRNA from 1 species
GGGUCACGCGGUAGCGGAGCGUUCUGUAAGCCUGUGAAGCGAUCUGGUAAUGGGUCGUGGAGGUAUCGGAAGUGCGAAUGCAGACAUGAGUAGCGAUAAAAAGGGUGAGAUGCCCUUUCGCCGAAAGACCAAGGGUUCCUGCGCAAGGCUAAUCCGCGCAGGGUGAGCCGGCCCCUAAGACGAGCCCGAAGGGGGUAGUCGAUGGGAACCACGUUAAUAUUCGUGGGCCUGGUGGUGUGUGACGGAUGGUGUGUGUUGUAUGCUCUUAACGGAUUGAGCAUGCUUCGAAGCUGUCCCGGGAAAUAGCCCCACCGUAUAGACCGUACCCGAAACCGACACAGGUGGUCAGGUAAAGUAUACCAAGGCGCUUGAGAGAAGUGUCC